rnacentral:rRNA from 1 species
UGGGGAAUAUUGCACAAUGGGCGCAAGCCUGAUGCAGCCAUGCCGCGUGUGUGAAGAAGGCCUUCGGGUUGUAAAGCACUUUCAGCGAGGAGGAAGGUGGUGAACUUAAUACGUUCAUCAAUUGACGUUACUCGCAGAAGAAGCACCGGCUAACUCCGUGCCAGCAGCCGCGGUAAUACGGAGGGUGCAAGCGUUAAUCGGAAUUACUGGGCGUAAAGCGCACGCAGGCGGUUUGUUAAGUCAGAUGUGAAAUCCCCGGGCUCAACCUGGGAACUGCAUUUGAAACUGGCAAGCUAGAGUCUCGUAGAGGGGGGUAGAAUUCCAGGUGUAGCGGUGAAAUGCGUAGAGAUCUGGAGGAAUACCGGUGGCGAAGGCGGCCCCCUGGACGAAGACUGACGCUCAGGUGCGAAAGCGUGGGGCAGCAAACAGGAUUAGAUACCCUGGUAGUCCACGCUGUAAACGAUGUCGAUUUGGAGGUUGUGCCCUUGAGGCGUGGCUUCCGGAGCUAACGCGUUAAAUCGACCGCCUGGGGAGUACGGCCGCAAGGUUAAAAC